CACAAACGUAGCACAAUUCAGCACAAUCAAGAAAAAGAUGAAAUUCAAAAAGUGCGGGGCUAACUUCACACACGUAUUUUCUUAUCACUACUCCAAGACAUCGUGCAGAGCGCGAGCGCGCCUCUACGACUUACAUCUUUUUCCGCUUAGAACAUCCGAGAUAUGAAAAUCGUGGCUGCCAAUGCGAAGUCUUCUGGAAGGGAAGUCUGCGCCGACGAGGGGUGUCGUCGGUGACUCGAAACCACGUGGUCGCCACGUGGUACCAAUGACGAGCGGCCGGUAUCGCCGCUAUCGAAAGCUGGUGGUCCGUCUCACCCGUGUUCUGGCACCGCGCGCGCACACCAACACACACAUACACACACAGCCACUGAUUCUCACCUCCUUUUGCUCCUCCUCCUCCUUCUUCUCUUUUUGCGAUCACGCUGUCACGCUUCAGUCGGAAACGCGUCUCCGCCGUCUGGUCCGUUUUCUCAAGCACUUGCACGCGCACUUGUUCCUCAUCUGUCCGACACUUCCGGCACCAUGUAGCUUGUUGCCCUCGUCACCGAUUUUAUGAAUCGUUAGCGCGUGACUGUUCCCCGCCACGCGAUAACGCGUCCGUUGUCUCGCUUAUUAUUCACCGCGAAGCGUUGUCUCUUAAUCUCAAGCAAAUAUCGAAGAAUCGAUAAUUUUAGGCGACGAUCGCGUUGCGUGUACAGACGCACCGCCACGUGUUGAGAUCUGUAAAUAAUCUACAAAUAAUUGUCAUUUCUUUCUGUUGCAGGCGGCUUGGACGACCUUGUCUAGACGGAAAGGCAGUGGGAACCGAGCACCGGGCACGGUGUCGACGCUGUGAUUGCAGUCGCACUCGCUUUUUAGGGGAUCGUCAAGAUUUCGGAGAACACGUGACAUCGGAGGAUCGGUUUCCGGUACGCGAGGGAGGAGGAGGGACAGCCAGGGUCGUUAAUCUCUCGGCGGGUGACGAGGCAGGAGUUCACGGGUCUCCGCCAUAGCAAACGUGACUCAUCCACGAGUUCUAAGGAGGGAACCAAGAAGGAACGCAGCCUGGAAGAAGCAGCCUGUGAUCUCUAUGUCGAGGCUGACUCGACGCUCGGCGCGAGCACGCCAGGCCGAUUCACGCUCUCGGACCGCGGCAAGCACGCACGAUCACAGAGAGAAUCGAGUAUUUCGUUUUGCACAGUAUCCGGUAUCGCGAGAUUACCGCCAAUGGAACACGUGCACCAGGGUGUGUCCCGGAUUUCCCGCCGGCUCCACCACGGACCUGUGUAUUCUGUCUCGACGUAAAUUCGUGGAUAAAUGUAAAGAUGCCAAAUACUGAUAAAAGAUUAACACCAAAUAAAAACGUAAACAUUC